GUAGCUUAGUGGUCAGAGCACUGAUGCGUAAAUUUAAUUGUCCCGGGUUCGAUUCCCGGC
rnacentral:tRNA from 1 species